rnacentral:rRNA from 1 species
UGAUCCUGUGCUCAGAUUGAACGCUGGCGGCAUGCCUUACACAUGCAAGUCGAACGGCAGCACGGGGGCAACCCUGGUGGCGAGUGGCGAACGGGUGAGUAAUACAUCGGAACGUGUCCUGUAGUGGGGGAUAGCCCGGCGAAAGCCGGAUUAAUACCGCAUACGAUCUACGGAAGAAAGCGGGGGAUCGCAAGACCUCGCGCUAUAGGGGCGGCCGAUGGCAGAUUAGCUAGUUGGUGGGGUAAAGGCCUACCAAGGCGACGAUCUGUAGCUGGUCUGAGAGGACGACCAGCCACACUGGGACUGAGACACGGCCCAGACUCCUACGGGAGGCAGCAGUGGGGAAUUUUGGACAAUGGGGGAAACCCUGAUCCAGCAAUGCCGCGUGUGUGAAGAAGGCCUUCGGGUUGUAAAGCACUUUUGUCCGGAAAGAAAACCUUUGGGCUAAUACCCUGAGGGGAUGACGGUACCGGAAGAAUAAGCACCGGCU